rnacentral:rRNA from 1 species
GUGGGGAAUAUUGGGCAAUGGGCGAAAGCCUGACCCAGCAACGCCGCGUGAGGGAAGAAGGUUUUCGGAUUGUAAACCUCUGUCCUUGGUGACGAAGGAAGUGACGGUAGCCAAGGAGGAAGCCCCGGCUAACUACGUGCCAGCAGCCGCGGUAAUACGUAGGGGGCGAGCGUUGUCCGGAAUGACUGGGCGUAAAGGGCGCGUAGGCGGCUUUUUAAGUUAGAAGUGGAAGUCCUGCUUUUAAGGUGGGAAUUGCUUUUAAUACUGGAAGGCUUGAGUGCAGAAGAGGUAAGUGGAAUUCCCAGUGUAGCGGUGAAAUGCGUAGAGAUUGGGAAGAACACCAGUGGCGAAGGCGACUUACUGGGCUGUAACUGACGCUGAGGCGCGAAAGCGUGGGGAGCAAACAGGA